UACGGAGGGGGCAAGCGUUGUCCGGAUUUAUUGGGCGUAAAGAGCGUGUAGGCGGCCAUACAGGUCCGUUGUGAAAACUCGAGGCUUAACCUCGAGACGUCGAUGGAAACCGUAUGGCUAGAGUCCGGAAGAGGAGAGUGGAAUUCCUGGUGUAGCGGUGAAAUGCGCAGAUAUCAGGAAGAACACCCGUGGCGAAGGCGGCUCUCUGGGACGGUACUGACGCUGAGACGCGAAAGCGUGGGGAGCGAACAGG
rnacentral:rRNA from 1 species